GCCUACGGGGGGCAGCAGUGGGGAAUCUUGCGCAAUGCGCGAAAGCGUGACGCAGCAACGCCGCGUGGGGGAAGAAGGCCUUCGGGUUGUAAACCUCUUUCAGUUGGGACGAAGCUUCUGCGGUGAAUAGCCGUAUGGAGUGACGGUACCUUCACAAGAAGCCCCGGCUAACUACGUGCCAGCAGCCGCGGUAAUACGUAGGGGGCAAGCGUUGUCCGGAAUCAUUGGGCGUAAAGCGCGUGUAGGCGGCUCGGUAAGUCCGCUCUGAAAGUCCAGGGCUCAACCCUGGGAUGCGGGUGGAUACUGCCGAGCUCGAGUCCGGAAGAGGCGAGUGGAAUUCCUGGUGUAGCGGUGAAAUGCGCAGAUAUCAGGAGGAACACCAAUGGCGAAGGCAGCUCGCUGGGACGUGACUGACGCUGAGACGCGAAAGCGUGGGGAGCAAACAGGAUUAGAUACCCCAGUAGUC
rnacentral:rRNA from 1 species